rnacentral:rRNA from 1 species
GACGAAGGUGGCUAGCGUUGCUCGGAUUUACUGGGCAUAAAGCGCGCGUAGGUGGUCUUGUAAGCGGGGGAUGACAGCCCAUGGCUCACCCAUGGAACUGUCUCCCGGACUGCAAGGCUCGAGGAAGGAGGGGGAGAAUGGAAUUCCCGGUGUAGCGGUGUAAUGCGUAGAUAUCGGGAGGAACGCCGGUGGCGAAAGCGAUUCUCUGGUCCGUUCCUGACACUGAGGCGCGAAAGCUAGGGGAGCAAACAGG